GUAGUGACCCUGCCUAUGAAGCCGAUGCAUGGCCCCAGGUUCAAAUCCUGGUAAGGGCAUUUAUUCGUGUGAUGAGCACAGAUAUUUGUUCCUGAGUCAUGGGUGUUUUCUGUGUAUUAAAGUAUUUGUAUAUUAUAUAUAUCGUUGUCUGAGGACCCACAAUACAAGCCUUCUUGAGCUUACUGUGGGACUUAGUCAAUUUGUGUAACAAUGUCC